GGUCAAGCUACAAAGGGCGCAUGGUGAAUGCCUUGGCAUCAGGAGCCGAUGAAGGACGUGAUAAGCUGCGAUAAGCUUCGGGUAGGCGCA
rnacentral:rRNA from 1 species